rnacentral:rRNA from 1 species
AUGAACGCUAGCGACAGGCCUAACACAUGCAAGUCGAGGGGCAGCACAAGGAGCAAUCUGAGGUGGCGACCGGCGCACGGGUGAGUAACACGUAUGCAACCUGCCUGUAAGCGGGAAUAACCCGUGAAAGACGGACUAAUACCGCAUAAUACUAAAUUACUGCAUGGUAAUUUAUUUAAACAUUUAUGGCUUACAGAUGGGCAUGCGCAUGAUUAGCUAGUUGGAGAGGUAACGGCUCCCCAAGGCAACGAUCAUUAGGGGUUCUGAGAGGAAGGUCCCCCACACUGGUACUGAGACACGGACCAGACUCCUACGGGAGGCAGCAGUGAGGAAUAUUGGUCAAUGGACGAGAGUCUGAACCAGCCAAGUCGCGUGCAGGAAGAAUGUUCCCUAUGGAUUGUAAACUGCUUUUGCAGGGGAAUAAAGUGCAUCACGUGUGAUGUUUUGUAUGUACUCUGCGAAUAAGGAUCGGCUAACUCCGUGCCAGCCGCCGC